CCUACGGGAGGCAGCAGUGGGGGAUAUUGCACAAUGGGGGAAACCCUGAUGCAGCGACGCCGCGUGAGCGAUGAAGUAUUUCGGUAUGUAAAGCUCUAUCAGCAGGGAAGAAAAUGACGGUACCCACAGAGGAAGCACCGGCUAACUCCGUGCCAGCAGCCGCGGUAAUACGGGGGGUGCAAGCGUUGUCCGGAAUCAUUGGGCGUAAAGAGUUCGUAGGUGGCACGUUAAGUCUGGUGUUAAAGGCGGAAGCUCAACUUCCGUAGGGCACUGGAUACUGGCGAGCUUGAAUGCGGUAGAGGUAAAGGGAAUUCCUGGUGUAGCGGUGAAAUGCGUAGAUAUCAGGAGGAACAUCGGUGGCGUAAGCGCUUUACUGGGCCGUAAUUGACACUGAGGAACGAAAGCCGGGGUAGCAAAUGGGAUUAGAUACCCGUGUAGUC
rnacentral:rRNA from 1 species